CGAUGCACGACGCCUCUGAUUGGUUCCUGAUUAGUAAUUGGUUCAGGCUCCUUGAGGACCGGAGGACUAAGACACAGAAGUAGUCAGAAGGAGAGCGGAGGCAGAGAUAGGAGCAUGGAGAGAAAUGAGUGAGAGACGGACAAACGAGAUGGCAUUCUUUUCUAGGAACGACCUAUAUGCCUAAAGUGCCUAUGCCUAAAGAUUUCCACAAAGGGGAGCUAUUAGCAAUCAAGUCGCUUUUCAUGUCACAUAUUGGUAGCAAAACUAUUCAAGACUUAGUAGGACUUCUGUGGGUGAGGCCAAGUGAGGGGAUUGCCAUGAAGACCACAUGGGGCUGCUGGAGGAAAUAUCUGGUUUUAGACUGAUGGGAAAUCUCAUCUAUCAAUGCUGAGUCUUCUGUGGAACUGCUUCCUCUUCCUGUACCACCCACAGUGGUCAAAGCAGAUAUUCACAUCUUUCCCUUCGCGUCAUACUCCACUGUGUAUUAACAGGCUUUGAAUGUGACCGCACAGACAAAUACACUCAGUUAAGCAUUAUCAGGUCCUCCUGCAGUGGCGGUACAAGUGAGUCUACAGCAGAAGGCUAUUUCUGGGUGAAUGGCCUGCGGUGCAUGUGCCAGUUCCUGCAGAAGUGAGUGCUGCCUGACUCUUCCGGGUAAUUAUACACCCGUCCACCUUGUGAAAUGGAUGUGCUUCUGAACUGCUGCACGCUAAAUUUUCCUCGACUCAAUUAAAUGUCUUCACAAGAAAGCUCCCUGCUUUACAGGAGUGAGAAGAAAGCAAAAGAAAAGCAAAACGUGUAUUUUAAAGGGUGAGAUGAGAAAAGAAUAAAAAUAGAAAUGGAAGCAAGAUGGUUCACAAAGCCUGCAUAGAAAGAAUAAACUAGACACCAAAACAUUGAUAAAGAGCAAUGAAAAUAACAGAAAAGAAAGAAGUCACAAGAGUCUUCAGAAUUUGUGUAAUGUGGAAAGAAAGCAAAGCAAUUUUCAAAUAAAUGCCUUUGAGAUGUGG